rnacentral:rRNA from 1 species
AGAGUCAACGCUGGCGGCGUGCCUAACACAUGCAAGUCGAACGCGAAAGCCCCGCAAGGGGUCAGUAGAAUGGCAAACGGGUGAGUAACACGUGGGUGAUCUGCCUCAGAGUGGGGGAUAACGACCCGAGAGGGUCGCUAAUACCGCAUAACAUCCUGCGCUUGGAUGCGUGGAGAUCAAAGUUGGGGAUUCGCAAGAACCUGACGCUUGGAGAGGAGCCCGCGGCCGAUUAGCUAGUUGGUGAGGUAACGGCUCACCAAGGCAACGAUCGGUA